rnacentral:rRNA from 1 species
CCUACGGGAGGCAGCAGUGGGGAAUAUUGCGCAAUGGGCGAAAGCCUGACGCAGCGACGCCGCGUGAGGGAUGAAGGUCUUCGGAUCGUAAACCUCUGUCAGCAGGGAAGAACGGUCACUGUGCUAAUCAGCAGUGAAUUGACGGUACCUGCAAAGGAAGCACCGGCUAACUCCGUGCCAGCAGCUGCGGUAAUACGGAGGGUGCGAGCGUUAAUCGGAAUUACUGGGCGUAAAGCGCUCGUAGGCGGUAUGUCAAGUCAAGGGUGAAAUCCCCGCGCUCAACGUGGGAACUGCCUUUGAAACUGGCAAACUGGAGUGUGUGAGAGGAUAGUGGAAUUCCAGGUGUAGGAGUGAAAUGCGUAGAUAUCUGGAGGAACAUCAGUGGCGAAGGCGACUAUCUGGCACAUAACUGACGCUGAGGAGCGAAAGCGUGGGUAGCAAACAGGAUUAGAUACCCGAGUAGUC